rfam:Toxocara canis scaffold10, whole genome shotgun sequence.
CGGGCAGUAGCUCAGUGGUAGAGCUCCGUCCUCGUAUGCGGGAAGACCUGGGUUCCAUCCCCGGCUGCUCAC